rnacentral:rRNA from 1 species
UUGGACUUUAUUUGCGCAGCAUAGGUGGGAGGCAUUGAGUUUAUUCUUGCGGGAAUUUAGGAGCCAUCAGUGAGAUACCACUCUGGUAAUGUUAGAUUUCUAACUUUGUAUCAUGAUCUGGUCAAAGAACAGUUUCAGGCGGGCAGUUUGACUGGGGCGGUCGCCUCCCAAAUGGUAACGGAGGCGUACAAAGGUUUCCUCUGAACGUGUAGAAAUCGUAUCUAGAGUGUAAAGGCAUAAGGAAGCUUGACUGUGAGACCUACAAGUCGAGCAGGGACGAAAGUCGGUCUUAGUGAUCUGACGGUGCUGAGUGGAAAGGCCGUCACUCAACGGAUAAAAGUUACUCUAGGGAUAACAGGCUGAA